UGGGGAGUAUUGGACAAUGGGGGAAACCCUGAUCCAGCCAUGCCGCGUGAGUGAUGAAGGCCUUCGGGUUGUAAAGCUCUUUUAGCGGGGAAGAUAAUGACGGUACCCGCAGAAUAAGCCCCGGCUAACUUCGUGCCAGCAGCCGCGGUAAGACGAAGGGGGCUAGCGUUGUUCGGAAUUACUGGGCGUAAAGGGCGCGCAGGCGGCUCUACAAGUCAGGCGUUAAAGACCCAGGCUCAACCUGGGGAAUGCGCUUGAUACUGUAGGGCUUGAGAUCGGAAGAGGAGAGUGGAAUUCCCAGUGUAGAGGUGAAAUUCGUAGAUAUUGGGAAGAACACCAGUGGCGAAGGCGGCUCUCUGGUCCGAUUCUGACGCUGAGGCGCGAAAGCGUGGGGAGCAAA
rnacentral:rRNA from 1 species